rnacentral:rRNA from 1 species
UACAGAGGUCUCAAGCGUUGUUCGGAAUUACUGGGCGUAAAGGGUGCGCAGGCCGCGCGGGCAGUCAAAUGUGUAAUCCAGGGGCUCAACCCCUGAACUGCGCUUGAUACUUCCGCGCUCGAGCUUUGGAGAGGAGUCUGGAAUUCUCGGUGUAGCAGUGAAAUGCGUGGAUAUCGAGAAGAACACUUAGGGCGAAAGCAAGACUCUGGACAAAUGCUGACGCUCAUGCACGAAGGCUAGGGUAGCGAACGGG